AGUGGGGAAUAUUGCACAAUGGGCGCAAGCCUGAUGCAGCCAUGCCGCGUGUGUGAAGAAGGCCUUAGGGUUGUAAAGCACUUUCAGUCGGGAGGAAAGGUGUGUGCUUAAUACGUACAUACUGUGACGUUAGCGACAGAAGAAGGAGCGGCUAACUCCGUGCCAGCAGCCGCGGUAAUACGGAGGGUCCGAGCGUUAAUCGGAAUUACUGGGCGUAAAGCGCGCGUAGGUGGAUUGGUCAGUCAGAUGUGAAAGCCCAGGGCUCAACCUUGGAGCUGCGUCUGAUACUGCUAGUCUAGAAUACGGUAGAGGGUAGUGGAAUUUCCUGUGUAGCGGUGAAAUGCGUAGAUAUAGGAAGGAACACCAGUGGCGAAGGCGACUACCUGGACCGAUAUUGACACUGAGGUGCGAAAGCGUGGGGAGCAAACAGGAUUAGAUACCCUGGUAGUCCACGCCGUAAACGAUGUCUACUAGCCGUUGGAAGACUUGAUCUUUUAGUGGCGAAGCUAACGCGAUAAGUAGACCGCCUGGGGAGUACGGCCGCAAGGUUAAAACUCAAAUGAAUUGACGGGGGCCCGCACAAGCGGUGGAGCAUGUGGUUUAAUUCGACGCAACGCGAAGAACCUUACCAACUCUUGACAUCCAGAGAAGAGGCUAGAGAUAGCUUUGUGCCUUCGGGAACUCUGAGACAGGUGCUGCAUGGCUGUCGUCAGCUCGUGUUGUGAAAUGUUGGGUUAAGUCCCGUAACGAGCGCAACCCUUGUCCUUAUUCGCCAGCACGUAAUGGUGGGAACUCUAAGGAGCCUGCCGGUGACAAUCCGGAGGAAGGUGGGGACGACGUCAAGUCAUCAUGGCCCUUACGAGUUGGGCUACACACGUGCUACAAUGGCCGGUACAGAGGGCUGCAAUCCUGCGAAGGUAAGCUAAUCUCACAAAACCGGUCGUAGUCCGGAUUGGAGUCUGCAACUCGACUCCAUGAAGUCGGAAUCGCUAGUAAUCGUGGAUCAGAAUGCCACGGUGAAUACGU
rnacentral:rRNA from 1 species